rnacentral:miRNA from 1 species
GAGGUGGGAGGAUCACUUGAGCCCCGGUGUUGAAGGCUGCAGUGAACUGUGAUUGUGCCACUGCACUCCAGCCUGAGUGACAGAGUGAGACCUUGUCUCA